UUUCACAUCACAGUAGAUUAGCCUAGAUGUAGCUUAAUUAGCUUGGUUGUGCCGAUUCAAGCAGUUCAGUUUCCCCAAAUGACAGCCUUAACACAACUUACCGUGGGAUGCUCGCAGUCAGGGUUUAGUUGAAAGUGAAACGCACACUGAAAGACAUACAUUUCCCACAUUUCAUUGCUGAGUAGUCGAUUCUCAGAUUCCCAGAUUCAAUGUCGAACUUAAACUCGUUCUCUCUCGGCUCAGUGGAAGAGAGCAGCUCCUCAUCUUUUACUGGUCUCUAAAGUCUAAACUCUGGAGUUGUCGACGGUUAGCUGGAAGUCACACCCCCACCUCCCCCCUCCUUCACCCCGUGCAGGGAGAGCAGGGAGAGCAGGGACGGGGCUGCAGGUCAGUCCAAUUCAUGAAGCAAAUCAAAUCCUGCCAGGAGACCACAGUUCAUUUGGCCGGCUCAGGGAUGGGUGGAGCACGCUCCAGUCUCAUGGUCCAGGGUUCAGAGGUCGCAGCGUAAAACGGAGAGUGGCUGCCAGGGAGGGAACAGCCCCCCCAGGUGGGACGCGGAACUCAGGAAGCUCAGGUACGACCGGAAGUCGGCUUCAUCCUUUAACGGGCCCAGAGCGUGACCUUCUGACGGCACUGACCCAGCGUUCAUGGUGCUGCCUAAGCCCGAGCUGACAAACUCCUUCAGGAAGUUGCCGUGGAGCAGACUGAGCGGGAUUUCCUCUUUCAUCUCCUCCUUUAUGAUUUCUCUUUUCACAGCUAGAUCGAGGGGCCUGGAGGCCUCGAGCGAUGCAGAUUUGGGGAAGGCGUGGGGGAGCCUGCUUUGCUGUGAGGCUCCUGUGUGGGGAUGCUGGUGGUGGCUGGGGUCCAGGAGCUGCUUGGGGAAGGAUGGGAACUCGGCGGCCCACAUGGAGGGGUAGAAGCCUGGGAGGAGAGGAGAGAAGUUGGCCCUCCUGUCCAGUGUUGACAUACGGGGGUAGAGACCCUCCUGCAGGAGAGACUCGAUAGAGAAAUCCUUCAAAGCCCGACUCUCCACACUCUCCUGCAACACAAGAUGCAUGAAUAUUUUUCAUCAGCCUUUUGAACUUAGAAAUAGUCAUUUAAAGGUGCUCUAAGCGAUGUUGGGUGACAUUA